AGUAGCGAGCUCUCAGCUGCUCGCAGUCCGGCUCAGUCAGUCCUGCAGCGCUGGCGACGCUGACACUGGCUGCUGCAACUGCAAGAAACUUUUUUUUGUGUGUUUUUUCCUUUUGUUUAAGAUGACCUAACGUCGAAAGAGCCUCUGCUGGUCAGGGAUCAGCUGAAGCGUGAGAUUCCCUCUUACCUUCUACCUCCACCACCACCACCGCCAUCAGCACUUUGAGGGCUGCUCCGCAGAUGGGAGGUCAUCAACCGGUCGUCUGUUUCGCCCAAGUGCACUAUCUGCCCUCCGCCCUCAUCUAAGAUGGCUGCCCGUGGCCUCCUCCUGCAUCCCAACACACUGGAGCAGAGCUGCGUGUUACCAUGGUGAUCAUUUUCUUGAAAACACUGGAAAAGAAGAAGGGUGUCGAUGAUGUGAGGUCCGUGAACACCGAGAGACGGCUGCGUGAGCUCCACACCAUGAGCAGAGGGACCACCCUCUUCUCCUGUGGAACUGUGGAGGCAGAUCGGUGGCUGGACCUGGGGCAGAGCUGUGCCAUCCAGCAGAGAGCUCCCUGCCAGUCUGGAGCCAGUCUGGAGAGCCUCUGGGAUGUGAUGCCGGAGCCAGGGAGCUGGCACUGGGCCAAGGAGCCCGGCAGCGCCACGGCAAUCACCAGUCUGAUAAGAGAUCUCAGCCUCGGCGACGGCGGCAUGACAGCCCCCCUCUCCCAUGCCGCAUCCACCACUGCUCACUACACCACUACAGCCACCAGCCAAGCUCCCGCGGCGCCGCCGAGCAAACGCCAGUGUCGCUCUCUGUCGUUCUCUGAUGAACUCAGUGGGUUCCGCUCAUCUUGGAGGCCCCAAGGCUCCCGGGUGUGGACGACGGUGGAGAAACGAAGGUGCCACAGCGGAGGAAGUAUGCGAGCAGGAGGAGGAGGAGGAGGAGGUGGGGGUUUCUCCAGCGGUCAUUUCCCCGCCAUGCAGCGUAGCUCCAGCUUCAGUUUGCCCUCCCGCUCCAGCAUCCCCUCAGACGUAGCCCUGGACCUGCCGUUCUUCAACCAGCGACUGCCUCUCCACCCUCAAUUCACUGCCUGUCCAGUCUCCCCUACCUCUCCCUCCUCGCAUCAUCAUCACCACUCCCGCCAACACCACUUCCUCAGGCCCCUCUCCCUCUCCCACGAGCAGAUCAGCCUGCCAGAGCUCCAGAGAGAAGAGGCGUCGGAGGCCAGCUCUCCAGACUCCACCCCGGAACUGGGGAGGCGAGCCGGCCCGAGAGCCAGGGGCACGGGGUGUCUGUCUCGAAGCAAGUCCCAGCCCUGCGUGCUGAACGACAAAAAGAUCGGCAUGAAGCGCAGGAGGCCUGAAGACGCCCAAGAGCAGCGUCCCUCCCUGGACCUGGCAAAGAUGACUCAGGUGAGAGUUUUCCUCUCCGUCGUCCGUAGAUGUUGCAAGAAUAGGGAUGAUUUGAUGAAAAGAAGGACAGAGGGUUCAAAUACAGAGGAUGGAAAACAGGCUCGGACAUCUGCUCACGCCUCGCUUCUUUUAUCUUGACACAAAAAGGCUGGAAACACAAAAUCCCGUUGCCAUCAACAACAGCAGUCUGGUUGCACGCUGCUCCCAAAGAUACCAUUUACAAAAUCCUUCUUCUGAGAGACUUCAAACAGAGCAGAGGACCUCCUCUGCAGCCAUCAAGUAAUUCAUUACGCAGACCAACACACACAAAGGGCUGCCUCAAACAGCUUCUGUGUACAUGACUUGAAAUGAACUUGCAGCAGGUAACCUAUGGACUAUACAGCUCUGUAGCGGUGUGUUGUGUAGAUUACACAAUCGGAGUAGUGAGAAUAAUAAAUUCUGACGUCCAUCAGAUCUACUCUACCGCCCUCCAGCUGGGUCCUGUGGGUGCGUACAGGAAAGGCGCCUGCCUUCGGUCACACAUCUGUAAACAUGGGCAGACGAGGAGGCAGCAGACGCCGAUGUUAUCACAACAGACAUUAGCCGCCGGGCGGACAGCAAAUGAACAUGAAAAUGUCUAAUUGGCAGAGUGGUCUGGGACCCCGUGGCUGCUUGCCUGGAAGGCCGGCACAACAAUACAGGAAGCCGGCACUUAUCUGAAAGGGAUGUGGAGGAGGAGGACACAGCAGACAAGUCGAGAACUGUGCAGGAUUUCUCAUAAAAUGUAUUCAAAAGAAGGUAAUCUUUGUUCGAUUAUGAAUCUAAAAGGAAUGAAAACAAUCUGUGUGUGCAGGAGAGGAAAGCGUGUGGGAAACUGAGAGCGAGGCAGCAGCGUGUAAGGUCCCGGGGAUGUUUGGAGUUUACACUGACCACCAUUUACUGAUUCGUUUGUUUGUUUACCUGGUGAUGACAUGCACGGAGCUUUGCUGAUGUGUAUCAUCCAGAGUGCAACUGAGUCUGUAUGACAACUUGGAAUACCAAAAGAAAUCAUUGUAUUCUCAAUGGCAUUUUUUGUGUUCAUUUCUCCUUUUCCUGCAACAAAAGUGUAAAUUUACACUAUAUACAUUAUGUGCAUUUGCUCAAGAUCAACACAGUACACUUUCCACUGUAAAUAAGUUUCAGUGCCGCUUUAUUUGUUGUUCAAAAAUGUGGGCAGGUGUGCAGUGCUUGGUAUUUCCUCAACUGAUCUCAACACGGCGGCCGGGUCACAAACUUUCUCAUUUUACAGCUAAACAGUACACUACGAGAUGUUUCUGAAAACAUUUUGUGCGAGAAAUAGUCAUUCCAGUAACAGAAUAUUGAUUCAUAUUUAAUCAGCGCUGCCUAGUUUGACCGUUUGAUCGGAGUUUGCGAGUGACUGACAACUGCUCAGAGAAGGCAAGGCUCAAGCUUGGCUCUGAUUGGUUGUUUUCCUCCGGUCUGUGAAAUCUUACAGAUGCUAUAAGGAGCACCGGAGGACACACCGGCACAUGAUUUUUUUCAGA